rnacentral:tRNA from 8 species
GCCCUUGUAGUUUAGUUUGGACAGAAUUGGUCCCUGCGGAGGACUAGACUCGGGUUCAAAUCCCGACGAGGGCA